rnacentral:rRNA from 1 species
AGAGUUUGAUCCUGGCUCAGGAUAAACGCUGGCGGCGUGCCUAACACAUGCAAGUCGAACGCCCUUAGCAAUAAGGGAGUGGCGGACGGGUGAGUAACACAUGGGUACCUACCCCGAGGUGAGGAAUACCGGCGAGAAAUCGCCGACAAUACCGCAUAUGCUUCUUGGGAAGCAAAGCUCGCAAGGGCGCCUUGGGAUGG